UUCUCUGCAUCAUUCAGCAUGUGCGCGAGGACAGAGACGGACGAGGUGCGUGGCUGAGGUCAAGACUAAAGCAAACAAAGAAGCAGCUGCAGCAGCUCGGGCCGAAUGAAUCCAGAAUCAUCCGAUGGACACUUGGUUCCAGGGAACAUCGUUUCCUGUGACAGAGAGGAGACACUCAUCCUUGC